CCGACGGUGAGGGAUGAAAGCUGGGGGCACGAACCGGAUUAGAUACCCGGGUAGUCCCAGCCGUAAACGAUGCUCGCUAGGUGUCUGGGAUGGUGCGACCGUUUCAGGUGCCGCAGGGAAGCCGUGAAGGGAGCCACCUGGGAAGUACGGCCGCAAGGCUGAAACUUAAAGGAAUUGGCGGGGGAGCACUACAACGGGUGGAGCCUGCGGUUUAAUCGGACUCAACGCCGGAAAUCUCACCGGAUAA
rnacentral:rRNA from 1 species